rnacentral:rRNA from 1 species
AGUGAACGCUGGCGGUAGGCCUAACACAUGCAAGUCGAACGGCAGCACAGUAAGAGCUUGCUCUUACGGGUGGCGAGUGGCGGACGGGUGAGGAAUACAUCGGAAUCUACUUUUUCGUGGGGGUUAACGUAGGGAAACUUACGCUAAUACCGCAUACGACCUACGGGUGAAAGCAGGGGAUCUUCGGACCUUGCGCGAUUGAAUGAGCCGAUGUCGGAUUAGCUAGUUGGCGGGGUAAAGGCCCACCAAGGCGACGAUCCGUAGCUGGUCUGAGAGGAUGAUCAGCCACACGGGAACUGAGACACGGUCCAGACUCCUAAGGGAGGCAGCAGUGGGGAAUAUUGGACAAUGGGCGCAAGCCUGAUCCAGACAUACCGCGUGGGUGAAGAAGGCAUUCGGGUUGUAAAGCCCUUUUGUUGGGAAAGAAAAGCAGCAGGUUAAUACCCCGCUGUUCUGACGGUACCCAAAGAAUAAGCACCGGCUAACUUCGUG